rnacentral:piRNA from 1 species
UCCCUGUCUUCUGUGUAACUACUCUUGGGUC